rnacentral:hammerhead_ribozyme from 1 species
AUCCAGCUGAUGAGUCCCAAAUAGGACGAAACGCGUGUUGGAU